ACGCACGAUGCACCCCGGGCUUCUCUGAGAGUUAUCACUGAAGAAGAAAGCCCCAAUGCUCGUGCUAAAACGGCGCCGUCAAGUGUUGCAGUUUAGCUUCGCUCUUUCCUACAGCUUUGUCUGUGUCAAAUCGACGGCCACAUCU